GCCGGGCGUGGUGGCACACGCCUGUAGUCCCAGCUACUCGGGAGGCUGAGACAGGAGAAUUGCUGGAGCCCAGGAGGCGGGGGUUGCAGUGAGCCGAGAUCGCGCCACUGCACUCCAACCUGGGCGACGGAGCGAGACUCCGUCUCAA
rnacentral:SRP_RNA from 2 species